rnacentral:rRNA from 1 species
AACGAACGCUGGCGGCAUGCCUAACACAUGCAGUCCGACGGGACCUGCGGGUCUAGUGGCGCACGGGUGCGUAACGCGCGGGAACCUGCCCUUUGGUUCGCCAUAACUCCCCGAAAGGGGUGCUAAUACCGGAUAAUGUCAUUGCACCAAAGAUUGAUCGCCUUUGGAUGGGGCCGCGUUGGGUUAGCUAGGUGGUAGGGUAAAAGCCUACCAAUGCGAGGAUUCAUAGCUGGUUUGAGAGGAUGAUCAUUCACAAUGGGACUGAGACACGGACCAGACUCGGACGCGAGGCAGCGGUAGGGAGUAUUAGGCGCUGAGCGAAAGCGUGGCACAGCCGUGCGGCGGAAGUGAUGAAGGCCUUAGGGUUGUGAAGCUCUUUUAGCCGGGAUGUUAAUGACGGUACCGGGAGAAUAAGCUCCGGCUAACUCCGUG